rnacentral:rRNA from 1 species
CGAGGGAGGGUUGCUCGGAGCCUUCGGGCUCCGGGUCCAACUCUACCGGCGAACGGGUGCGUAACACGUGGGCAAUCUGCCUCGAAGACGGGGACAACCUCGGGAAACCGGGGCUAAUACCCGAUACCCUCACCGGGCCGCCUGGCCUGGCGCGGAAAGGGUCCGCAAGGUCCGCUUCGAGAUGAGCCCGCGGCGUAUCAGCUAGUUGGCGGGGUAACGGCCCACCAAGGCGAUGACGCGUAGCCGGCCUGAGAGGGUGGUCGGCCACACUGGAACUGAGACACGGUCCAGACUCCUACGGGAGGCAGCAGUUAGGAAUCUUGGGCAAUGGGCGCAAGCCUGACCCAGCGACGCCGCGUGAGGGAUGAAGGCCUUCGGGUCGUAAACCUCUUUCGGGAGGGAAGAAGCCGGCUUGCCGGUGACGGUACCUCCAGAAGAAACCCCGGCUAACUACAUGCCAUCAUCCGCGGUAAGACGUAUGGGGCGAGCGUUGUCCGGAUUCACUGGGCGUAAAGCGCGUGCAGGCGGCCCGUUCAGUCCCGUGUGAAACCUCCGGCUCACCGGAGAAGUCCCGGGAUACUGGCGAGCUUGAGAAGGCAGACGGUGGUGGAAUUCCCGGUGUAUCGCUGAAAUGUGUUGAGUCUUGACGAACCAGUUGCUGAAGCCGCCGGUUCGUCUUCUAUGAAACUUAGACGGAAAUUUGGCGCCCGACAGGCAUU